rnacentral:rRNA from 1 species
GACGAACGCUGGCGGCGUGCUUAACACAUGCAAGUCGAACGGAAAGGCCCUGCGUUUGUGGGGUUCUCGAGUGGCGAACGGGUGAGUAACACGUGAGUAACCUGCCCUUGACUUUGGGAUAACUUCAGGAAACUGGGGCUACUACCGGAUAGGAGCUCCUGCUGCAUGGUGGGGGUUGGAAAGUUUCGGCGGUUGGGGAUGGACUCGCGGCUUAUCAGCUUGUUGGUGGGGUAGUGGCUUACCAAGGCUUUGACGGGUAGCCGGCCUGAGAGGGUGACCGGCCUCAUUGGGACUGAGAUACGGCCCAGUCUCCUACGGGAGGCAGCAGUGGGGAAUAUUGCCCAGUGGGAGGAAGCCUGAUGCAGCAACGCCGCGUGCGGGAUGACGGCCUGCGGGUUGUAAACCGCUUUCGCCUGUGACGAAGCGUGAGUGACGGUAAUGAGUAAAGAAGCACCGGCUAACUACGUG